AUUGAACGCUGGCGGCAGGCCUAACACAUGCAAGUCGAACGAGUGGCGGACGGGUGAGUAAUAUCUGGGAAACGGACAGAGGGAGGGGGUUAAUUACUGGAAACGGUAGAUAAUACCGAAUACCUUCGGAGGGGCCAAGAGUGGAUUAGCAAGUAGGUGGGGUAAUGGCUCACCUAGGCGACGAUCCCUAGUUGGUCUGAGAGGAGGCCCAGCCACACUGGAACGGAGACACGGUCCAGACUCCUACGGGAGGCAGCAGUGGGGAAUAUUGCACAAUGUGCGCAAGCCUGAUGCAGCCAUGCCGCGUGUAUGAAGAAGGCCUUCGGGUUGUAAAGUACUUUCAGCGAGGAGGCGUUACUCGCAGAAGAAGCACCGGCUAACUCCGUGCCAGCCGCCGCGGUAAUUC
rnacentral:rRNA from 1 species